GCGCACCAGUCGCGAAACCUCCGCAAUACACGAAAGUGUGACGGGGCCAUCCCGAGUGCCGUCCGCUGAGGACGGCUUUUCCCCAGUGUACAUAGCUGGGGGAAUAAGGAGAGGGCAAGCCUGGUGUCAGCCGCCGCGGUAAUACCAGCUCUCCGAGUGGUGGGGACGCUUAUUGGGCCUAAAGCAUCCGUAGCCGGCUAGGCAAGUCCUCCGUUAAAUCCAACGAUUCAAUCGUUGGGCUGCGGGGGAUACUGUCCAGCUUGGGGGCGGGAGAGGCCGACGGUAUUCCCGGGGUAGGGUGAAAUCCUAUAAUCCCGGGAGGACCACCAGUGGCGAAGGCUGUCGGCUAGAACGCGCCCGACGGUGAGGGAUGAAAGCUGGGGGAGCGAACCGGAUUAGAUACCGUGUAGUCU
rnacentral:rRNA from 1 species